CUGCAACCAAAUCCAGUGUGUCUUCAUUCUAGCCUAGAUGUCACCAUCUCCUCAGAAGGGGCUGGGAGUGAAGUUGAACUAGGGCUGAUAGUACUUGCAGUUCCCCAGGUGACCACCAGAUGGCUGUGAGGGCUCACCUCCAGGAUUGCUCUGGCUGCUGAGUGGGGAACAGACUGGAGGUGGGGAGCAGAAGCAGAAGCCCUACCAGGAGGCCACUGCAGUCACCAAGGCAAGAUAUGGUGAGGGGAUGAGGGCUUCGGUGCGGGAAAGCAGAUGGAUUUGGAUCCACCACCUGGGACAAGUGCCACAGCAGCUCAGCCUUGCUCCACGACAGUCACAGAGGGCUUCCUGCAGGCGGUGCCCAUUUUGCAUUGUCCUGAAGGAUUAGUCUGCCAGACACAUGUAGUCAGGAGAGGAGGAGGACCCUCCAGGAGAGAGAACA